rnacentral:rRNA from 1 species
AGAGUUUGAUCAUGGCUCAGAAUCAACGCUGGCGGCGUGCCUCAGACAUGCAAGUUGAACGAUUAAAGCUCUCUUCGGAGAGUGUAUAGAGUGGCGCACGGGUGAGUAACACGUAAGUAAUCUACCCUCGAGUGGGGAAUAACAACCGGAAACGGUUGCUAAUACCGCAUAAUGCAGCGGCACCGCAGGGUGACAGUUGUUAAAGAUUUAUCGCUUGAGGAGGAGCUUGCGGCAGAUUAGCUAGUUGGUAGGGUAACGGCUUACCAAGGCUACGAUCUGUAACCGGUCUAAGAGGACGGUCGGUCACACUGACACUGAAUAACGGGUCAGACUCCUACGGGAGGCAGCAGUCGGAAUUUUGGGCAAUGGGCGAAAGCCUGACCCAGCAACGCCGCGUGAAGGAUGAAGUAUUUCGGUAUGUAAACUUCGAAAGAAUAGGAAGAAUUAAUGACGGUACUAUUUAUAAGGUCCGGCUAACUACGUG